AGAUGGUAAACACAGGAAAGCAAUUCAACAUGAUAGCUGCAUCUUGGAUCCAAUUCAUGAUACAUGACUGGAUUGACCAUCUUGAGGAUACCAAACAGAUAGAGAUUAUAGCCCCUUCAUCAGUUGCAAACGAAUGCCCGCUCAAGGCAUUCUGAUUCUACAAGACGAAGGAAGUCCGUACAGGCUCUUAUGAAAUCAAGAGUGGGCAUUUGAAUACUAGGACUGCAUGGUGGGAUGGUAGUGCUAUCUACGGAAGCAAUGCAGAGAAACUGUCACGUGUUCGGACCUUCAAAGAUGGGAAGCUUGUCAUCUCCGAUGAUGGUCUUCUUCCUCACAAUAACAAUGGUAUUUUGAUCUCUGGCGACGUGCGGAACAGUUGGGUUGGUGUUUCUGUGUUGCAAGCACUCUUCGUUAAAGAACAUAAUGCAGUAUGUGACAAGC